ACGUAUCGUGGACGAACGAGAAGUCGAAUUUGUUUGUACGAGACGGAGCGUGUUCAGAGUCCUGGUAAAUUGCCAGGAUUAUGAGCGACUCGGCUGAGUUAUACGCCAAGAGACGAAAUUAUCGUGUUAGUAUCGAUCGGUGGAUUGGGAGCAGACUCUGCGCCGUAAUUAUCGACUUGACGGGCCGAAAAUGAACUUUCAUUUUUAUAUUCUUUCGUAUAUCUUUCAGCCAAUAUUCAUGAAUCGAUGAAUCGAGAAAAUUGUUAAAAAAUGAAGGAAAUUUCUGUUUGAAAAUGAAAAAAAGCGUGAAUGCAAGCAUCGAAAAUCGCAUUUUAUUCUUCAACUCGGUCACGUAUUUUUAUCGCUUCAUUGUCGCGAAUUUAAUUUCGCAAUGAAUGAAAAUUCCGAUGCCGGAGAUAGCGCGAUCGCUCCAAACCGAGGAGUAUCGAAUUUAGUUGACUCUCUCACCGGAAGAUGUUUCUGAAAUUAUAAAUGAGUUACCAGCGAAUUGAGUUUACGACCUCGUCGGAUAUUCGAUGCGAAACAAACACGACUGCGUUCACAUUUCAUUUAAUAUUUCGUACCAACUCAUCAUCUCUCACUUUUCGGAUCCGGAGAGACUUUAAUUACUUGAGGAGAUCUCGACGAUAAAAUUCUCACCCGAUGAUCGUCCAGGGGAAAAAAUUGCUCCAAAUGAAAAAACUAAUUGAAAGCAUCGAGCGGAUCAUUAUUGUCGGAUGAGCGAGAGAUGACGAGUGGGAUUGGAACAUCGUUUCGAAGGGCAUUCCAGCGUCGCGAUCUCAAAGCUUCCAGGCUGGACGAUUCAUCCAAGUUUUUUAUGGGCCAACUCGUUCGUAUGGAAGUGAAGUAAUUAUGAGACAUAUUAUUGAAACCUCACCGCUAUUUUCAACUCGAUAAUCGAUUUUAUGUAACCGUUAAUACGGUCCCACACAUUCGUUUCGUCAAAGCACUGUACAACCUCGA